GAUUUGAACUAAGAAAUUCAUCAAACAACAAAGUUGUAGAACUCAUCUAGAUCUAUAACUUUUAUUUUGGUUAUUUCUUCAUCCGACAAAGUGAUAUUAACAUUGUUCACAAAAUUUACAUAUCUCUCAUUUGGUUUUAUAAACUAUAAAAGAGAUAUGUAAAUUUUGUGAACAGUGUUACUAUCAUUUUGUCGGAUGAAGAAAUGACCAAAAUAAAAUUUGUAUGUCUUGAUGAGUUCUACAACUUUUAUGUGCAUUUUUUCAACUGAAAUU
rnacentral:pre_miRNA from 1 species